GUGGCCCUCCAACUGCUAACCACCCAUUGGAAGCUCAGUGGUGUGCUGUAGGCAAUGCUAACCUCUCAGCUGGAAGUAGAGGAUACAGGGGACCUUUCAGCUUUGAAACAGGAAACUAUUAUGAAGUGUUUUGCCUUUCAUCUCUUGUUAUCCCAGCUUUUAAGCAUCCAUGUACAUCAAACUGUAUCACUCAUCUGAAAAUGUGAUCUUAUAACCCCUUCGCAAUGCACAAGAGUGCCACGUAUUCAUUACUGUCAUUUCAUGGUAACUUUGGUAUUUUACUUCUCAUUUAAGACAUGACACACAUGACCCACCAAAGCCAGAUGCUGUCUUUCUUACAGCAAUGAGUUUGAAGCUGAUCCAGCAGUUCUUAUGAGCUCCGUAUGUAAAUGUUAUAUGAGAAAACUGCCAACCUAGAAUACUAUGGCAGGACUACCAAUAGAUGUCGCUAGAGCAGGGGAUCAGG
rnacentral:lncRNA from 1 species